rnacentral:lncRNA from 1 species
CUGCCCAGGAAAGGAUGUAGGUGCUGGUCAACAUUCAAGAACAUUCUGAUUUGAAGACUCAGAUUUAUUUAUAAAAUGCACUUCAAGAAUGACAUAAUUGAGCAUUUUUCAAGGCCUAAAUGCUGUCCAGAGAUCCUCGCCCGAAUCCUUAUAAGACACACAGAGGAGAAAACACACGGAAGGGGAGGAGGCAACAUGACCACGGAGGCAGAAACUGGAGAGAUGCAGCCACACCAAGGAAUGCCUGGAGCUACCAGAAGCUGGAAGAGGGGAGGAAGGAUUCUCUCCCAGAACUUUAGGAGGGAACACAGCCCCGCCAACACCUUUACUUUGGAUUUCUGGUCUUCAGAACUGC